rnacentral:lncRNA from 1 species
CAAGCGCUGAUUACCACGCGUUGUUCCCUCCCGCCCACUCCUGGACUUAAAUAAAGCAGUAUUAACCAAGCGCUGGCCUGGCUGCUGCUGGCCAUUAGCCAACACACACAAGCCAUGAUUUCUUUCGAAAGACAAAAAAGCCAUCCUAGCCGAGGGGGGACACGCCCAUCGGCUGAAUAGGAACCAAGUCACAUGCCUUGAGAUCGAUCUGGAAAUAAAGGGGGGAAAAGAGGAAAGACGAUUUUUGCAUACGGAGAAGAGGACCUUUGUAAAGCUCUUCCGGGCCUGAAAAAGCCAGAACUCAGGCUGGGAUUGAAAGAUCAAGACCCGGCUGCAGCCCGUCGCGAAGAAGGUACCCUCGGCAUAGGUACCAUUAUGUUAAGGCGAAGGAGAGAGACAUGGGCACAGCAAGAGACCAUGCAGUUCAUCAGCCUCUUUGGGGAUGUAGAUGUGCAGAAGAAGCUUAACUCUUGCCAUAGGAACCAAGCUGUCUAUGAACAACUUGCAGAAAGGAUGAAGAAGCAUGGCUUCAAGCGAACGGCACAGCAGCUGCGCGUCAAAGCCAAGGAUUUAAAAAAGCAAUACAGGGACAUUAAGAAGAGUGGUCGGCAACUCAGUAAACAUAAUUCCUUUUGGAAAUACUACAAUAUUCUGGAUAGCAUUCUUUCUGAUGACAGUAAGGGACCCAAAGCAGUCACCUCUUCCACUCCGGCCAUUAAACAUAGUGAAAAGCGUGCAGAGGGGCAGAAGAAUGUAACACAGCCUAAGGAGCAAUUGCAUUCCAGCCAGAGCCAAGAAUGUGGGUCAUCUUACAACAGCUCCAGAGCUUCCCAGAAGUUAUCAGAUCCUUCCCAUGAUGCCUCUGCUGUCAGUUCCUCAGUUGUCCAAAUGUUAUCAAGAAGAGGUCUGCAGCGUCCACGAACCAGCCCAGCAAUCACCCACGUCAAGGCAAGAUCCAGAAGGUGCUGGUCACUAGUACACUUCUCUAAAGUAUUUCUUCAUUAUAGCAAAAACAUGGAGAAGUUUCAGGAGAUCUUCCAAAACCAUUUGGGUAUGGAGAGGCAAGAGAGAGAGAAAAUUCAAAAGGAAGCAUCCAGGACUAGGAAGGAAAUCAAAACUGCUGCCAGUCAGAUGCGUGAAGCGAUUCUUGUCCAAGCAGAAGCAAUUAAUAAAGUUGCAGAGGCUAUAAACCGAUACAACGAUCUUCUUGAAUGUGUUAUUUCAGAACCAGAUCCACAAAGUGGAGAUUAA